rnacentral:rRNA from 1 species
UACGUAGGGUGCAAGCGUUAAUCGGAAUUACUGGGCGUAAAGCGUGCGCAGGCGGUUAUGUAAGACAGUUGUGAAAUCCCCGGGCUCAACCUGGGAACUGCAUCUGUGACUGCAUAGCUAGAGUACGGUAGGGGAGGGAGUAGUCACUCGCGUGAGCAGUGAAAUGCGUAGAUAUGCGGAGGAACACCGAUGGCGAAGGCAAUCCCCUGGACCUGUACUGACGCUCAUGCACGAAAGCGUGGGGAGCAAACAGG